UCGUAACAAGGUUUCCGUAGGUGAACCUGCGGAAGGAUCAUUAUCGAGUCUUUGAAAAGGGUUUGCAGCUCUUGUGUGCUCGCCCUGCUCAAAAUCCACUCUACACCUGUGCACUUACUGUGGGCUUUUGCGGGGUUUGUUGACCCUUGUUGAAAGCCUACGUUUCAUUACAAACGACCAAGUCAUUAGAAUGUGUAUCAUCGAUGUUAUAACGCAUCUAUAUACAACUUUCAGCAACGGAUCUCUUGGCUCUCGCAUCGAUGAAGAACGCAGCGAAAUGCGAUAAGUAAUGUGAAUUGCAGAAUUCAGUGAAUCAUCGAAUCUUUGAACGCACCUUGCGCUCCUCUUAACGGAGGAGCACGCCUGUUUGAGUGUCGUGAAUAUCUCAACCUUGACAACUUUGUUGUUAGAGGCUUGGACUUGGAGGACUCAUUGUCGGUGCUUUGUUACCGGCUCCUCUCAAAUGCAUUAGCCCCUGGUUCAUUUGUGUGAAACGGUUAAUCUCGGUGUGAUAGUUGUCUACGCCGUGGGCCGUGUAAGCAUAUGUUGUAUUGACCGGGCUUCUAAUCGUCUCGUUUUAUAAAGAGACAAUUCAUUGACAAUCUGACCUCAAAUCAGGUGGGACUACCCGCUGAACUUAAGCAUAUCAAUA
rnacentral:rRNA from 1 species